rnacentral:lncRNA from 1 species
CCAGAAUGGAAAGAUCAAUUGGAAGAUCGAUACAAAAUGUGUCUCUGAUGAAUGUUGGACCAAAGGGAGUAAACAGAACCCAAGACAUCUAACAAAAUGUUCCCCAGAAUUAAGAUGAACACCAAAGAGAAUAGAUAAUUUUAUGGAAACUAUGUUGGUGGGAUCCACUUCCAGCUGUGUGGCACUGUCAUGAGACCUUAUAUUUUGAAUUGGAGACUUGUGUUCUAAUAUAUGCAUAGGUUUUCUGCUCUUUGGUGCUUUAGCUUCAUUCAACAAAUGUUAAUGUUUUAUUUUCAUUUAUAUUCACUUUAAUGUAAUUUUUAGAAAUUUUAUCUAAUAUUUUUUUUCUUUAACCCAUGGAUUAUUUAUUUCUAACACUGUCACAGAGAUGAAGUCAGAGCGUCUACUUAUAGCCUUGCAAGGGUAAAAUUGUAGGUGCCCCACUUGAUUUUUUUUUCAAGGAUGGAAGUUGGGCCAUAGAUAUUUUCUGUGUUGUUUACCUGAGUAAGGAUGUUAUUCUCUAAAAGUUGUCUCUCCUGCUAUGCUACCUCUUUCUUGGCCCUUUUGCUUCAAAAAAAGGAGGCUUUCUUGGGGGAUAUUUCUCUAUCUGUUCUCAUUGAUGUUUCCAGAUUGCUGGUUUCCUCAAUUUCAGGAUUUUCAUAUAUGAUGAAAAAAAAAAAAUCCAGUGGGCUCACCACUAUGUCAUUCCUUUGGAUCCAAGUCUCUAGUGGGUCCAACUUCUCUCCACGUUUCAGAGUCUUAAGUGACUUUUAAAUUAUUAUUUAUUUAUAUAUAAAUUAAUUCGUGUAAUUAAUAAUUAUAAAUAAUGAUUUAAAAGACAUUUAAGAAGACUCUGAAUUUAUUUAUUAUUGUUAAGUUCCGGUGUUUUUAGCUGUACUUAACAGAGGAAGUAAGAAAGAUUACAUCUACUUCAUUGUCCCAGAGGAUGAAUAAUAAUGUUGCUCUUAGUAUUGCUUUAAAAUUUCAAAGAAACAACCAUCUCUUUUUGUCUACUUUACCAUACACACCUAUUAUUCUACUUUUUUCUCCCAUCUUUACCCAAGGCUUAGAAUUACAUUGUACUUAUGCUUUUCAUAAUUCAGUGAAUGUAACUUGUAAAUCAUGCAUAGUCAUUAUAAUGCCUCCUUGCUGUUACAUGUUAUUUUUCCUUUUUCCAAUAUUGAACAAUAUUAGUGUAAAUUAGAAAUUAGUUUAUUUCUUCCAUAGUGAGAUAUUUCUAUAAUUUUUAUUAUCUUAUUUUUAUCAUUUAUUGAAAUAUUAUUCAUGUCUGUGUAGGAAAUGGAAAAAAAUUUCUCAAACUUCUAAUGACCCAUACUUUGACUACAAAUAUUAUCUUUAAAUAUUGCUGUUAAUGUUUUAUACACACAAACUACACAAGAAAAAUAUGAAAGACAUUUGAUUUUGGAAUCACUAGCAGGGUACCUGGCAUAUGGAUGUUACAAAAUAUUUAAAAUACAUCAUUACAUAAUCUCAACUGCAGAGGAAAAAAAUGAGAAACUUCUACUUGCUUAUUGAGAACUACUUCUAAU